AUCCAUUAGUUUUAAAAUGGGUCAAAAGACAAACCAGAAAAACUGUAGACUAGCAAAUCAGUGAAUUCAACCUUUAUUGUAGAGAAAAUACAAGAUAUUGUGUAAGGGAGAAUGUGGGAGGAAAGAAGUCAGGAAAGGAGUUGGAAAAAUAACAGCUUUAUGAAUCUACACCCAAUAUCUGGGUCUCAAAUGCAUCUUAGAAGAUACGUUAUUUGAUGUUUGCUUCUCUUACGAAGAACUAAGUCUGAUAGAACAAUGAAGGUUAAGUCCAACCCUGCUGGACCUGGUAUACAUUUUGAGUAGCAAGACAAUAUGUACACUCAACACAGCUCUCUGCUGCUGCUACUAGAGAAUACCUUUCUCUGUGCUACCUGUGCCUGAGACCUGAAGAAGAUGGAAACCCAGAAUGAGCACUGACUGAACAAGAAAAAAGAAAGCUUGCUCUCUAGUCAAAGUACAAGGAAAGGAGAAGCACAGCAAGAAAGAAAACUUUUUGAAAAUAACCUCUCUAUUCCAGCCAAACAAAACGGAAAAUAAGUUGUUGCCCUACUCUCACCCAUCCUAUUUAAGAACUACUAGACCUAGAUAUCCCCCCACAAAAGAAUCUAACAAGUUGCCUCCAAAAUCUCAUUGUGGUGGUAUCAGAGAGGACUAAAUAGGGAGAAUGUGGUCUUCUACCCCACCAAGCAAUAAGGAAGUUCAGCUUUUCCUCUCAGCUUAAAUGGUGUCUUAGGAGGUCUAAUGCAAAGUCAGAACUUUUGCCAUCACUCAGCUGUACAGAACCUGCACCCACUACGUUGUCAUAGAGAUCACCUGAGAAACCAAUUGCCAACACUAGCCCUGCAGUAAAAAGGAAGGAGCUGCCCAUUCCCAUCACUCAAAUGUCAAUAGAGGUCAAGUGAGGAAUCCUGAACUUCUACCUCCAAAUAGCAGUAAUAAGGUGGUGCCCUCUAUCCCCUACCAGAGCAGAGAAAUAUUGUUAAAACAGAAGUUUUAAGUAAAAUCCAGAGUUUCAUAGCACAAUACGAAAAUGUCUGAGUUUUAAUAGACAAUCACUUAUCAUGCCAAGAACCAGGAAGAUGUCAAACUGAAUUAAAAAAAACACUCAGUUGUGGCAGUGGGCUGAGAUCGUGCUGGUGCACUCCAGCCUGGACAACAGAGUGAGACACCAUCUCAAAAAACAAACAAACAAACAAACAAAAAAAACCACUCGAUGGCAAGUUGACAGCAAUAUAAUGAAAAUAAUUGUGUAACAUCACUGAUAUUUUUUGGCUGUGUCCCCACCCAAAUCUCAUCUUGAAUUGUAACUCCCUCAAUUUCCAUGUGUUGUGGGAGGAACCCAGUGGGAGGUAAUUGAAUCAUGGGGACGGGUCUUUCCUGUGCUGUUCUCAUGAUAGUGAAUAAGUCUCAUAAGAUGUGACAGUUUUAAAAAUGGGAGUUUCCCUGCACAGGUUCUCCCUCUUGCCACUGCCAUGUAAGAAGUGGCUUUUGCCUUCCUCCAUGAUGGUGAGACCUCCCCAGCCACAUGGAACUGAAAGUCCAUUAAACUUCUUUCAUUUUUAAACUGCCCAGUC
rnacentral:lncRNA from 10 species